rnacentral:rRNA from 1 species
GACGAACGCUGGCGGCGUGCUUAACACAUGCAAGUCGAACGAUGAAGCGCCUUCGGGUGUGGAUUAGUGGCGAACGGGUGAGUAACACGUGGGUAAUCUGCCCUGCACUCUGGGAUAAGCCUGGGAAACUGGGUCUAAUACCGGAUAUGACCGCUUCACGCAUGUGGGGUGGUGGAAAGUUCUGGCGGUGCAGGAUGAACCCGCGGCCUAUCAGCUUGUUGGUGGGGUGAUGGCCUACCAAGGCGACGACGGGUAGCCGGCCUGAGAGGGCGACCGGUCACACUGGGACUGAGACACGGCCCAGACUCCUACGGGAGGCAGCAGUGGGGAAUAUUGCACAAUGGGCGAAAGCCUGAUGCAGCGACGCCGCGUGAGGGAUGACGGCCUUCGGGUUGUAAACCUCUUUCGCACGGGACGAAGCGAGAGUGACGGUACCGUGAGAAGAAGCACCGGCUAACUACGUGCCAGCAGCCGCCGUAGUAACAC